AAAAAAACAAACCAUGAGUUUUCGUGUACAACUUUGACGGUCUGUCUUAUAUGAAAUUUUUUUAUAAUUCAUAUUUUCAUUAUUGUUAGAUGAUAAAACAUAAUUAAUAUUUUAUGCGUGACUUAUCUUUUUAAUUUUUUUUUCAUAUUUUUUAAAUAAGUCGGACGGUCAAACGUUGGACACAGAAACCAGGGUGUGUCUUUUUU
rfam:Oryza nivara chromosome 4, whole genome shotgun sequence.